UCCUACGGGAGGCAGCAGUAGGGAAUCUUCCACAAUGGGCGAAAGCCUGAUGGAGCAACGCCGCGUGGGUGAAGAAGUAUUUCGGUAUGUAAAGCUCUAUCAGCAGGGAAGAUAAUGACGGUACCUGACUAAGAAGCCCCGGCUAACUACGUGCCAGCAGCCGCGGUAAUACGUAGGGGGCAAGCGUUAUCCGGAUUUACUGGGUGUAAAGGGUGCGUAGGUGGCAGGGCAAGUCAGAUGUGAAAGCCCGGGGCUCAACCCCGGUACUGCAUUUGAAACUGUCCAGCUGGAGUGCAGGAGAGGUA
rnacentral:rRNA from 1 species